rnacentral:rRNA from 1 species
GAGUCAUCAAACCUUUGAACGCACCUUGCGCUUUCGGGAUAUGCCCGUUAGCAUGUUUGUUGGAGUGUCU